CACGGGGGGAGCAAGCGUUGUUCGGAAUCACUGGGCGUAAAGGGCGUGUAGGCGGCCUGGUAAGUGGGAUGUGAAAUCCCUCGGCUCACCCGAGGACCGGCAUCCCAAACUGCCCGGCUUGAGUAUGGGAGAGGAUGAGGGAAUUCCUGGUGUAGCGGUGAAAUGCGUAGAUAUCAGGAGGAACACCGGUGGCGAAGGCGCUCAUCUGGCCCAAUACUGACGCUGAGGCGCGAAAGCUAGGGGAGCAAACGGG
rnacentral:rRNA from 1 species